AUAUCCGAAUCCGACCUGUACUUGCAAAUUUACUAGAAUGGAAUCUAGGAGGUGUUAUCAAAAAGAACCGAAAUCCGAAAAACCCAAUCCGAACGCCAACGGGUACCCGAACGCCUAGAUCGAGGGUAUGAGAGUUAAACUUGGGAUGUAUACCAAUUAUGGAAGUAGUCGCCGGCAUAUUAUUAUUAUUUAAAUGUGUGGUCCCUAUGAAAGUUAACUUGGCCAUAUGAUCAAAGUAUACGACGUCUCACGUGCCUCAAGCGUCGGGUCUGGCAUUAAUUAUAUGAGUUGUCAGAGUCCGUGAUACAGUUUGAGGGAUGGAUAGAUUACAGUUCCAUAUUAACUCUUUACAUUAAAUACAAUUUGAACUACUAAUUCAGUAGAUAGCUCUUUUGUUUUUUGAGUUCCCAUUAUAUCAAUUUAUCCUCCUCAAAAAAAAUAUCUAUCUAUUUAUAUAGAAGAAGGUUUCCUCUCUCCUGGUUGAGACACAUAAGCAUCCACGUCAUAAAAUCGACUCCUCUAAACGCGACACGUGUUCCACACGAAUGAAACUCAUCGUUUCAUUUAAGCUUGAGCCAAUUGGGCUUUGAUCGUUAAUAUAUCUGAUUUCUUUAGUUUGUUUACGUUUUGAAUGGGUUUUAAGUUUCAAUAACCGGAUAUCAAUUAAUAGGCUUCAAUAUUAACUGCAACAAUUGUUUUGGGUUUAGGAAGCUUGGUCAAACUGGCUGCUAAUACACAUGAUGAGCCUAACAACUCCAAACGUCAUCUUCAAAACUAUAGACGAACCUUUCUAGAGCUCCUUCAAUGCACUAUUUCUCAUUCAAUGCAUCUCUCUUUUCCCAGUCGGUGAAAUACAACUAUAAGUAGAUUAGUCUUCAAUCUGUAAAACUCAUCAUUUCAUUUCUUACAGUCAUAUAAACUUUGGCAAACCAGAAUGGUGAAGAAUCCUUCUCUCCUCCUUGCUGAUUUUAAAGCAGUCAUAAAUAGAUUAAUCUUCUAUCAUUUCUCUUCCUGGACAACGAAACCUCUUUUUGCUUGCGCACUCAUGAAGCCGUUUGCAGACAGACUUUUUACAGAGUAUGAGGUUAAUGUGAGACGAAAACAGCUUUGUGUUUUGCGGCGGACGAUUCGGUUAAGACAGAUGCUUCUUCCUAAGCUGGAGAGAGGUGAUGAAUCAGAUGAUGGAGGCAUGGAAACCAGUCCUAGAUUUACCAGAGGAGGCUUCUCCACCAGGAUAAAGGUGUGACACGCUCUUGACUGAUGUAAAGGUUAUGAAAAGUAAGUUUGAUGUACUUAAAAAACAUUUUCAAAGAGAGUGUUCUCAGAAGUAGCUGAGAGACAAAGCUAUGAGAAUCUAGCGUGAAAAAGCACAUUUGUUGCAGUUUGGGAAAGACACAAAAUGUGAGCUCCGGAAACAUCUUGGAGAGGUUUCUCCAAACAACUUUGCGCGAAUGAAUAGGCUACUGGGGUAAAAGACGGAGAGAUUGCGAAUCUAAAAGAUGAGGAUAAGGUUGAUCAGUUGAUCUUAGCUCGCUGACAACUAGAGACUAAGGAACUUGAAUCUCAGUGUAGCAUCCAUUCUUUGUUUUUAUUUAUUCUUGAGUUAUGUUAUUGUUGGAAAGUUUAUGUCCUUACCUUACAAAUGACCAUUGUUCCACCUGUAGAAAAAUCAGUUGGAGAAACAAAGAUUUUCUAAAGUUACAAUUUUAAAGCUCUUUGGCUAAUUUAUAAUGUUAUUUUGAGAAACAGGUCCGUAAAACCAACAACUCAAACUGCACCGUCUGAUUUUAUUCUAGGGUGGGGAACUAACUGUGUUUAGUGAUUUCUCUGCUGAGAAAUCCAAAUAUCAGAGGAAACAACAAUCAAUAUGACAAACAUAAUUUAGGAAUUCUAUGUCAAGUCAGCCGUGUAAAACGCAAACAUUAUGACGACUUUGGCUGUUUAAAUGAAUUUGAAUGAAAUAAAAAAGUAUACAAAAUUUUUGGACUUUUGUUGGGAUUGUGAGAAAGUUAAAGGAGAAAACUUAUUAUACCAAACUUUGUUAUGUCUUUUAUAUUUUUUUGCAGAUAUAUAUCUUCAUUGUGUUCAUGGUCGGCCACAAUCAAGAAAGUGAGAAAUAACCUUUUUACAGAAUGAGCAUUCUCUUCUUUCAAUCUCUCUUAUAGGGUUACAGUAUUUAGCGGCAAUAAAGCGACCCAGUAAUAAAUCAGGUGAAUCGUGAACAUCCUUACAUAAUCUCUCUGUCACCUCAGUCAUUGUAUAUUUUUCUCAAGAGUUAUGUUCUCUUUAACCUGAGGUUUAUUAUGAGUAGUUGUUGAUCUCUCUCCAUGUUAUAAGCUUCCUCCUGGUUUUGAGGUAUAUCAUUAUCACAUUUCAGGUUGAGCCCAGAGUUGAAGCUGAAUCAUGGUUUGUAAUUGGUGGUUUUAAUGAAAACUUUGUUGUAAUGGGAGAAUGGUUAGACGGUAGUCCUAAACAGAAGAAGAGAUCGAGCUUAUUCACGAGGUGGUCUUAGUGAAAGGAUUGUUGUGAGGGCCGGUUUUAUCCGAGUAUAAACACUGACAGCAUUCUUCGGUUUCUAUGUUUAA